AUGGAGUCCAAGGAAGGGAAGCUGGCCGAGGAGGGGAGCAGGGUCUCCCCAGCCACAGAGGAGCCCGAGAUGUCAGGGGCUUCCGCUAAGGCGACCGCAGCCCCGGCGGGGAAGACGGACGUGGAGGAUGCUGUCCCCACAGGGCCGCAGGGUGAAGCUGGGCGGCUAGAGGAGAAGCAAGGGGGGGAGCCCCAGAAGGAGGCCGGCGGGAAGGAGGCCAGCAGAAAGGAGGAGGAGGCCACAGUGGCCUCUCUGGAGACAGUGGACAGGAAGGAGGAGACCAGAGCUGAACCCCGGGAGGACGGGGAAGGGCAGGAGGCCACGCCGGCUGCACAGAAGCCAGUCCAUGAGAAAGAGGUCCCAGCGGAACCUGAGGAGAAAGACAGAGGAAACGGCAAAGACAAACCCACGCCCACAGAGGCUGGCGGGCACGAUGCCGUCCAAGAGGCCACAGCAGGACCUCAGAAGGCAGCUGUGGACAACAAACCCCCAGAGGCUGAUGGAAAGGAGGAGGCCGAAAGGGGUGCAGAGGAAAUGGAGCCCAGAGGCCCCGGGGAAGAGCAAGAGCAGUAUGAGGACAGAGAGCCGGAGGAGGGACUCAUGGGGGCCCCCAGCUCCCCUGAGGAGUGGCCCGAGAGCCCCACCGAGAGCCCCACCGAGGAGGGCCCCAGCCUCAGGCCAGGUGAGCCAGCGGGUGUGCAGCUCGGGGGUGCAGAGAGCAGUCAGGGAGCCCAGUGUCUGCCCUGUUUCCCGCAGAUGGAGAGGGCCCGGCGCCCACAGCCUCAGAAGAGACCGGCCCUGGGGACAGGUAAGGCAGGGGCUCCAGCCCUGUGACCCUCACCCCUGCCUGGGACUCGAGAGCCCUUCACCCUGCAGGCCCCAGAACCCACAGCAUGAGGAGUUCGGGCCCUCGGCACUGCCUCAGUGUGGCUCCUUACCCGCUGCCCGGCAGCUCAGAGGUCAGCAUCACCUGGGGAGCCCGGACCAGGGCUCUCUGCUCACCGGCUGCAUGACCGUGGCCCUGGCACUAAACCUCCGUUUUGCUUUGUUGAGACAGGGUCUCACUAUGUAGGUCAGGCUGGCCUCGAAAUCGCGGCGAUCCUCCUGCCUCAGCCUCCCGAGUGCUGGCAUGAGAGGCGCGCGCGCGCCCCAGGCCAGGCUUCUGCGGGUCCCUG
rnacentral:lncRNA from 1 species